GAUAUCUCCCUUGGAUGAGAAGAAAACCUUUGAUUGAUCUCCAUCUCCCCUCUUAAUUAAACCUCCUAAUCUUCCCUCUUCUUCUCUAUAGGAUUGGACGAGAUUGAAGCUCCAUUCUCCAUCCUUCCAUCUCCUUUGAAGCUAGCAAGGUCUUGGAACAUGUAUACAAAGUAUUGGCUACGGCUUCGAUAUUCUUGCCAGGGUUUAGUUUUGAUGAUGAUGCUACGGCUACAGUAGGAUGGUGUUGCCUACUGUAGAAGGGGGAUCCUCAUGAGAAGCCUAUAGAGGGGGCACGAGUGGUCCCAUUUAUGGUGUCCUUUUCGGGAGGUGCGUAGAAAGCACAGACGGAGCAUACACCGAGAACCUUGAGUCACCACACAGGGUCUCGGUAGGCCAACGUUAAGGAUAUGAAGACCUUGAUGACUCUCAACUUUAGUCGCGACGGCAACUAAUGUCAGAGAGGUUUUUCAGGCUAUUGUUUUGAGAACAGCUUUACAUUUCAGUUCUCGCAAAACCAUGUUAUCUUGGAUUGGAUUCUUAAAUUGUGAACUCUUUUGUUUCGUCUCUUUAAAUAUCCAAGACAUGUAAACUUAUAUAUUUGAAAAGCAUGUUUUCAUGAAAAAGAAA